rnacentral:misc_RNA from 1 species
AAGUCGUAACAAGGUUUCCGUAGGUGAACCUGCGGAAGGAUCAUCAAUGAAAAAUCCAGCCAAAACACUUGGGCAUUCUAGCCUGGUUGGUUGUCUUUGGGGAAACCUUUUGACAUCAAGUAGGUCUAAGUUUUUUUAGACCAGGGAAUUGACGGAAAAAAAAAUUAGACCAGAAAUUGGUCAAGGUAAACUUUCAGGUUCAAGUUUAACUCUUGACCUGAUAUUUACACUAGAAAAAAAAACAACUUUCGGCAACGGAUCUCUCGGCUCUCC